rnacentral:sRNA from 1 species
AAUGUAGUUGUAUCGAUGUGGCCUUAUAGUCCAUCACCUAGAAAAACACCAAGAGUACUGCUUGAAUACACUGACCACCAUUGUUUACCUGUUAGGGGACAGGCAAGAUGGGGAAGCAGAGGAAUUAUUGCCAUCAACAAAGAGAGAAUAACAGCUUACCUGGAAAGUUCCACUAUUUCUAAGAAUUACAUAAUGUUCAUUUGCCCCAUCAUGGAAGAGAUACCCCUGUAAGAAUGGGAAUCUGUUCCCCUCUACUGAUGGCUGCUGGGGGCAGAAAGAAUGAUGUUGUAUUUAUCUAGGUUUAUUAGACAAAGAAAAGCUACAGCGUUGGUGAGAACAACAAAUCCAGGUAAGACUGCCUAAGAAGAGCCUGGCCCUGAAAUAAUCCUUUUCCUCCUUUCUGCUCAUCAGACUGGACCCUUGUCGAACCUCCUCCUGGGGAGGAACAAGCCAAGCAGAAUGCCAACUCCCAGCUGUCCAUCUUGUUCAUUGAAAAACCUCAAGGAGGAACAGUGAAAGUUGGUGAAGAUAUCACCUUCAUAGCCAAAGUCAAGGCUGAAGAUCUUCUGAGAAAACCCACUAUCAAAUGGUUCAAAGGAAAAUGGAUGGACCUGGCCAGCAAAGCCGGGAAGCACCUUCAGCUGAAGGAAACCUUUGAGAGGCACAGUCGGGUGUACACAUUUGAGAUGCAGAUCAUCAAGGCCAAAGAGAACUUUGCAGGAAAUUACAGAUGCGAGGUCACCUAUAAGGAUAAAUUUGACAGCUGUUCAUUU